rnacentral:tRNA from 1 species
GCCGUCUUAGCUCAGUUGGCAGAGCAUUGCAUUCGUAACGCAAAGGUCGACAGUUCAAUUCUGUCAGACGGCU